UACGGAGGGUGCAAGCGUUAUCCGGAUUCACUGGGUUUAAAGGGUGCGUAGGUGGGCAAGUAAGUCAGUGGUGAAAUCUCCGGGCUUAACCCGGAAACUGCCAUUGAUACUAUUUGUCUUGAAUACUGUGGAGGUCAGCGGAAUAUGUCAUGUAGCGGUGAAAUGCUUAGAUAUGACAUAGAACACCAAUUGCGAAGGCAGCUGGCUACACAAAUAUUGACACUGAGGCAACGAAAGCGUGGGGAUCAAACAGG
rnacentral:rRNA from 1 species